rnacentral:rRNA from 1 species
GACGAACGCUGGCGGCGUGCCUAAUACAUGCAAGUCGAGCGGAGCUGAUGAGGUGCUUGCACCUCUGAUGCUUAGCGGCGGACGGGUGAGUAACACGUAGGUAACCUGCCUGUAAGACUGGGAUAACCCACGGAAACGUGAGCUAAUACCGGAUAGGUGAAACUCUCGCAUGGGAGAUUCGAGAAAGGCGGAGCAAUCUGCCACUUACAGAUGGACCUGCGGCGCAUUAGCUAGUUGGUAGGGUAACGGCCUACCAAGGCGACGAUGCGUAGCGGACCUGGGAGGGUGAUCGGCCACACUGGGACUGAGACACGGCCCAGACUCCUACGGGAGGCAGCAGUAGGGAAUCUUCCGCAAUGGGCGAAAGCCUGACGGAGCAACGCCGCGUGAGUGAUGAAGGCCUUCGGGUCGUAAAGCUCUGUUGCCAAGGAAGAACAGCCGAGAGAGUAACUGCUCUCGGAAUGACGGUACUUGAGAAGAAAGCCCCGGCUAACUACGUGCCAGCCGCCGCGGUAAUAC